GCCUGUAAGAGAAGAAGUAAUAUGAGUCAGUACAGCUUACUGUGUAAUGUACCUGAGCAAUGUUAAUGCAUGCAGACCUGAUCCUAUUUAGAAGCAAUUAGUAUCAAAGAGAAGAGGAGUAAGAUCUGGCCAGUCCCUUCUGUUGGUUACAUCACUUGGAGAUUGUCAAAACCAGCUGAAGCUUCUCUUAGGCUGAAUACUUGUCUAUGCUGAAAAAUCACCACUUUUGGAGGGAGAGAAGAGCACUGCUGGAUAACCUCUCACAUUGCUUUGGCUCUCCAGGCUGUGACAGCUCUACCCUAGCUACAGGACAUGGACAAGAGAAGUUACUUCCAUUGGAGUGAAAUAAAUCUCUGUUUCUGGAGAAGUUUCCUGUCAUUCUCAUGUUUUCUCCCUGCUAUUGUGCUACAGGCUAUCCAAAUGUUAUUGCUACUGCUGUAGCAAAUUUACUGUUCUGCUUCUAAGCAGGCUAAAUUUAAAACUCUCUUAACUUGAACUUCCCAAUGGGGAUACAUAAUAAAUGCCGAGUUUCCUUC